GUGGCUCCUUCAUUUUUCUUUCCUCGUGAUCCAUAGCUCCUCCACAUCCUCCAUCUUAAAUUGUCUGAUGAUGUACCAAAUGCAAUCCUAAUUUUAUUUUCAAAUGUGUGCAAACCAAGCUGUCUGUCGUAGCAACCUGUGCAGGAUACAAGUCUGAUUGUAUGCGAAUAUUGAAAUAUAGCAUGUUAACUAUGUUAGGGUUAAAAAAAGCCA
rnacentral:lncRNA from 1 species